AUACGUAGAGUCAACACCAAUAGGUUAUAGAGGGAGAUACGUAGAGUCAACACCAAUAGUUUAUAGAGUGAGAUAUGUAGAGUCAAAACCACUCUGACAUCAAUAGGUUAUAGAGGGAGAUACGUAGAGUCAACACCAAUAGGUUAUAGAGUGAGAUAUGUAGAGUCAACACCACUCUGACACCAAUAGGUUAUAGAGGGAGAUACGUAGAGUCAACACCACUCUGACACCAAUAGGUUAUAGAGUGAGAUACGUAGAGUCAACACCAAUAGGUUAUAGAGGGAGAUACGUAGAGUCAACACCAAUAGGUUAUAGAGGGAGAUACGUAGAGUCAACACCAAUA